AAUUUUUGGCUCACAUGGUCGUUACAUCAAUUAGAUAUCAGAUAUUCUUAUUUUGAUUUAUUUUAGCAUGAUAUUCUAAUAUAAUAUUCAUUCAUAAAAUAUUGGUACCAUUAUGGAAUAUUGGGAACACUCUAAGCACCAGCUUUUUCUGAUGGAAAAUGUAACAUCUUUAUAACCCUCUAUAGAUGUAUGUACCGGAAAGGACAUAUGGAUAGUAGUAUAGGAUAUUUGUUGUUUAUGUGUUUGCAAACCUCUUAUUGGUCCUAUGUUGGGAAGAUUUAGUUCUGUAGAGAUAUACAGAGGUUGUGUGAUGACCUCAUGCAUCAUCAUCAUCAUCUUUAUUACAUUUCUUAUAUUGUUCUUAUGCUAUGAUUGUAUUUCUGCCUUUGACUUUAUAUCUAACAUUUGUUGUAUCUUCCUAUACUUGUAUUUGAUGUAUGUAUCUUUGUUUUUCUUUUCUUUAUAUUUAUUUUUAUAUGUAUGAAUAUUAGAAUUUUUAGCAGACACGAUUUGGGCUACCAUUUAGGAGAUUUUAUUAUUACAGGUAAUUUGCCGAUAGUUUUUUAUUAUAUGCUUUAUUUUCUACAUUACGUUGAGAUCCUAUAAUACCAAGUACGUACAAGUGGACUUCACUCAUCCCUACUGUGCACUUUUGGUGCUUAUCCAGGUACGAGUGCACCUUACAAAUAGUUGAUUCAAGUGAUACUUCGAGCCCUUUUUAAGUAACGGUUGAUCAAUGAAUCAAUAGUUUACUUCUAAAUUUUCUUAUCUAUAUCUUACUUGUGUUUAGAGUCAUAUUUUUUCUCCUGUUGGACAUCUAAUGUAUUUAUGACCACGAGUUAUACAAGUGAGUUCUUAGACUAUGACAUCAUGUUUUUAGAUUUGGUUGGUAUCUUGAUUAUAUUUCUGCUUUUACUUGAUAUAUAUGUGUGUUUGGAUGUGUAGGUCAACUCUAUUUUAGAGGUCUUUCCUUGUUCUUGGUAUUGUUUACUCAUUUUAUAUCAUUUUGGGUGAUUGUCUUACUUGUCAAGGUUUGCCGCAACAAGUUUCAUCAUGACCCUUGGUUUUUGGGUCAUGACAUUUUUGUGUUGUGUGGGGGCCUAUAUGGAUCAUAUAUGGUGAUUCUUGAGACAUUAUUUGUUAUAUGUAACCAUGUGGAGUCUUAUAUGAUAUUGUAGUUGGGUAUUGAUAAAUGUAUGUUUGUUUUACUCCUUCUAGUGGCAAAAAGCAUAGAUUUUGAGAUUUAUGUGGUAUCUAUGACAUUAUCUUCCAUGUUUCACUUGAUGGGUUCUAGAUUAUAUCACAUCAUGGAUGGUUGGUUGAUUUGACUGGACUUUUGGCUCACUUGGUUGGUAUAUUUGUUUGAUAUUGGAUGUUCUCAUUAUUGUUGGUUGUUGAGCAUUCCAUCCUCAUAUCAUAUCCAUUUAUGAAACAUUGGUACCACCGUGGAAAUAUUGGAAGUACCACAAAUACUAGCUUUUUUUCCUACAAAAAAUUUGAUAUCUUUAAAAACCCUCUACGGGUAUAUAUGCUAGAGAGGAGAUAUUGAUUAUUAGUAUUGGAUAUUAGUUGUGUACUAGGUGAGGAACGCUCUAUUAGUACUACCUCGAGAAAAUUUAGCUCAAUAGGUGCAUCUGAAGGUUGUGCAAUGAUCUCGAGUAUCCCUUCAUCAUCAUCAUAAUCAUCAUCUUCAUUGCAUUUCAUGUAAUGGCUUUAUGUUGUGAUUGUAUUUCUAUCUUUUUCUUGAUAUCUUUCCAUUUGUUCAAUCAUCCUAUGAUUGUAUUUGAUGUACAUGCAUAUUUUUUCUUCUUUUUUGUACCUUUAUUUUUUAUAUGUGGGUAUAUUAGAACUGUUAGUGGAGAUGGUGUGGCGUACCAUUUAGGAAUUAUUUUGUAGGUAACGUGCCAAUAGAUUGUGUUUAGAUGCUUUAUUUUCGACUUUACUCAGUCUCUUUAUGAUACCUACUAAAUACAAGUGGAUCGUACUCAUCCUUACUAUGCCUUUUUGGUGUAGAUCUAGGCAUAGGUAUGCAACCUGGAUAGCUAAUUCAAGCAAAAUUUGGAGUAUAUUUGAGGUGGCAAACAUCCUAUGCUUUAGGAGUUGUCCCACUACCUCUUUCUGUCAAUUUCACAUCUUAUUUAGUAUUCUGAGAUAGAUUUUAAUCCUUUCUGGACUAUAAAUUUUUCUUUGACAUUCGAGAUGUAUUUAGUAGUUCUAACAGUGUAACACCAAGUUUUGGGAUAUUUUACGGUAUCUUAAU
rnacentral:lncRNA from 1 species